UACGAAGGGGGCUAGCGUUGCUCGGAAUCACUGGGCGUAAAGCGCACGUAGGCGGCUUUUUAAGUCAGGGGUGAAAUCCUGGAGCUCAACUCCAGAACUGCCUUUGAUACUGGGAAGCUUGAGUCCGGGAGAGGUGAGUGGAACUCCGAGUGUAGAGGUGAAAUGCGCAGAUAUUAGGAAGAACACCGGUGGCGAAGGCGGCUCUCUGGAACGGUACUGACGCUGAGACGCGAAAGCGUGGGGAGCAAACAGG
rnacentral:rRNA from 1 species